UCUGAAGAUGGGCAAUCAAGGGCUGAAAUAGAACUUCAUGAUGCUUUCAGGAAUUCAGACUCCUUUUGUAUUUCUGCUCAAUGUGAGAAUGAUCAUUUAGCCUUCACAAGAUGGCUGCCUGAGCUUCAUCUUUCACAUCUGUCUUCAAGGCAGCAGAGAGGAAGAGAAGGGAAACCAUGACCUCUGCCCAGCAGUGUCUUCAUGUUACUUGCAAAUCAAAGCCUUCUGCAGAAAUACCUUAAAGGUUCUUGGUGCUCCACCUCUGAGAGGAAGUGGAUGGGAAGGGAGAAGUCUCUGCGAAAUUGUAACCAAAUACAACACUUCUUUGGGUUUCAGCACAAAUUCACAAUUAAAUUCUGAGUUAAAAUGUACUACCCCAAUA